rnacentral:lncRNA from 10 species
GAUAUCAUUAAGGACACAAAAUAAGGAUGGAGAAUUUGAGUGAAUAUUCUAGUCCCAGCUCUUCCUUGAAUUUGCCUUGUAAGUUUAGUUUCCUUAUUUGUAAAAUGAAAUAUUGAACUACAUGGCAUCUGCUACGGUCUGAGUGUUUUUGUCUCUGCCCCCUGCAAAUUCAUGUGUUGACACUUAAUCCCUAAUGCAGUAGCAUUAAGGGGUGGGGUCUUCAGAAGGUGAUUAGAUCACGAUGGCUCCACCCUCAUGAAUGAGAUUAGGACCCUUAUAAAAGAGGCCUGAGAGGACGCCGCUUUUUAAGCCCUCCCGAUGUGUGAGGACACACAGGAGCCACCACCCAGAGGAACAGGCCUUUAGCGGACACUGAAUCUGCUGGUGCCUUCAUCUUGGAAUUUCCAGACUCCAGAACUCUGCAGUUACCAUCCUCAAAUACAAAAGUAAUUGAUACUCAGCAAUGAAAGCUGCAUGUGCAUGUAGGGGAGAGAAGGAGGUUUCACCAGACUGACAAAUGGAGUCAUGGUUCUGGGAAGGAGCAGGGUGUUGGGUGCACAUUUGUCACCUGGGAAUACUACCAGCAAGCCUCAUAUUUUUUCUGCAAUAAAUGCUGGAAAGGAAAAAGAAAUGCUGAAAAUGAUGAAGUAAUUCCAAUUCUGCUGAUAGAGACCUGGAAAUGCACUAGGGAAAAAUGACAAGAGUGUAACACACUGCUGCUGAUUAUGUCAUAAUGAUUAUUUUAUGCAGUUUGAAGAAGACUCACUGUUCUAAAGAACCAGCAUCCAUUUCCAGGAAAGAGCAGGGAUUCUCCAUCCAUACCUCCAUGGGAUGAACCACAUUGAAAAUAAUGAUUUCCUUCUAAUAGCUUACUCUACAUUAUAUAAAGAAUUCCUUGGGAUUCUAAAAAAACCCUAAUAAUAUAGUAAUAAUAACAACAGAGGUUUGUUUUUGCUAUUUGUAGUCUAAUAUUCAGAUUGUGAGCAGCUGUUUUGGAAGGCAAGAUGAGUGAAUAGAUGUGAAGUCGUCUUAGAAAUGUCCAGGCUUCCAAAAGAAAUUUCACUUUUAAAAGAAAAUAGCCUAAUGUGAACCACAUUAGAAUCAGCACAUCUAAUCCUACGGAGAAAAAGUGACCAUGGCUGUCUACACAUAUAGGCAGGUCAUUCAAGCUCAUUCAAAAAUUCCACUUUCACUGGUGGUCUGUCUGUGUCCACAUGGUGACAAAUGGCCCCGGCAGGGUUUUUGAGGUGUUGGCACCACCAGUGAGUGCCAGAUGGAAUGUGGUGAAAGUUCUGAUUUGUACCUUUCAGACUAAAGGUACUUUCCAGAAUGGACGGGUCCUUCUGGCUGCCUUUUGUAAGUGCAGCCACAGGUAUUCUGUUGAAGCCUGUGGGUGAGAAAGACAUAAACAGGUGCUAUAAAUUUGUCAGACCAGGAAGCCACAGGCCGUUUAGUAAAUGGUAAACCCAAUGGCCCAAAAGAACAAAGGGGUCUCUUUUCAUCAGAAUGAUCAGGCUCAUUCAACAAAUAUUUAUUGAGCACCCACUUUCUGCCAGAUGGAAGAGCCACUGACAAGGCCUCUUAUUUAAAGAGUGCCUGAAGUGAGGAAGCAAACCCCCAAAUCAUCUGGGAUGGUAUGAACUGAACUCUGGACCGCAACAUGAUGGAAAGGAGGAGCUGGGGUCCCAAGGGCAGUCCAGACAACCUGAACCUGUGACACUCACCCUGCCCACACACUCUCAGAGCUGCAGCUUUCACGGGGGUGACAUGAAUGCUUGUAAAUGAGCUUGCUGAAUGGGAGACCAAGAACGAUGAUAUUGAGCUGUUACUACAUGCCAGACAUUUAACCCUUUCAUCCAGGUUAUCUCAAUCAUUCCUUACAGAAAGGCUUUUGAGAUGUCCUUGCAACUGGAGGUGCCAUAUGAUACAGUUCUGCCCAAAGACAAGAAAGUGAAUGUCUGUUGAGGGCUUCCUAUAAGGCCAAUACAUACAGGUGUUCCCAACAACAGACCUUGGCCUCUCUUCCUCAGUGUACUGAAUCAGCUUUUGCUAUAAUUUUGGUGACUCAUAUUGGCCCUGAUCAUUAUUGGAAUCCCGUAAGUUUCAUAUUCUGCUCCAAGAAACAUUUGGAUAAAUUGAGAAAAACUAAUAGCCUUUCAUGGUAAUAACAGUCUACUCCCUUCAUGAUGUCAACAAAUGCUAUCAGAGUCCACACAAGACCUCCCAAACAUUUCUGAUGAUCAGAGACAAGAUACCGUCUUAUAUACCAAAAACCUCAGGUGAGAAACAGAAGUAAACUGGCAAGCCAUCCCUGAAGCUCCAGACAGCAAACACAGCAAGCAUGCAGCUUCCCCUUCUGUCUGGAGGAAUCUUGUGCUAAGCAGCACCUACCCACAAGCCUUUGUUUCUCUACAGAUGGAAAAGCUCCUGCCAUCCUGGGCAGCACAUGGUAGAGGGGAGGCAGCCACUGACCUUCUGGGUAAUCUGUCAUGACGACCUGAUAGCAGACCGGCAGGAUGCUCCAAACUGUCACCAAAGAUGUCACGAGUGCUUCUGAGGCUCAAGAAUCUAAUUUUCCUUACUUAAAAUAAAAGGACUGAAUGCUGGAUGAAUAACCCUUUUUUUCACCCCCUAAACAAAUCUCAUAGGGAAUCCUAAUAUAUAAAAUAACCAAAGUGCAAGCCCUGGGUUAAAGCCGAGGAUGGGUGCUAGAGAUGGGCUAGAGCAUGUCUGCUUAGCUUUCUUCCACUAUCCCAGCCAUUUAAAGACCACAAGUUAGCUUCCUGGAAUUCAGUUUGACAAACACUUAGGCUAGAUCAUUGUCAGGGGACCUUCAUUUCAAGCUCCAUGGAGUAGGUCGGGGACUCUGCCUUGGUCAUCCCUGAAUCCCCACAGCCAUGGUUCUAGCACACAGUAAGCACUAAAAACCAAAACCCAAAAACCCGUAUGAUAAUGUAUGUCUACAGACAUUCGAUGAAUGGAUGAAUAAAAGAUUUUUCAGAUACCAUGAGAUGUGUUUAUCUAUUUAAGAUUAUAACUCCAUUGACCAAUAGAGUUGGGUUUUAAGCUAUAACCCCCCAAUCUGACCAU